rnacentral:rRNA from 1 species
GGGGAUUAGUGGCGAACGGGUGAGUAACACGUGGGCAAUCUGCCCUGCACUCUGGGACAAGCCCUGGAAACGGGGUCUAAUACCGGAUACUGAUUGUCUUGGGCAUCCUUGAUGAUCGAAAGCUCCGGCGGUGCAGGAUGAGCCCGCGGCCUAUCAGCUUGUUGGUGAGGUAACGGCUCACCAAGGCGACGACGGGUAGCCGGCCUGAGAGGGCGACCGGCCACACUGGGACUGAGACACGGCCCAGACUCCUACGGGAGGCAGCAGUGGGGAAUAUUGCACAAUGGGCGCAAGCCUGAUGCAGCGACGCCGCGUGAGGGAUGACGGCCUUCGGGUUGUAAACCUCUUUCAGCAGGGAAGAAGCGAAAGUGACGGUACCUGCAGAAGAAGCGCCGGCUAACUACGUGCCAGCAGCCGCGGUAAUACGUAGGGCGCAAGCGUUGUCCGGAAUUAUUGGGCGUAAAGAGCUCGUAGGCGGCUUGUCGCGUCGGUUGUGAAAGCCCGGGGCUUAACCCCGGGUCUGCAGUCGAUACGGGCAGGCUAGAGUUCGGUAGGGGAGAUCGGAAUUCCUGGUGUAGCGGUGAAAUGCGCAGAUAUCAGGAGGAACACCGGUGGCGAAGGCGGAUCUCUGGGCCGAUACUGACGCUGAGGAGCGAAAGCGUGGGGAGCGAACAGGAUUAGAUACCCUGGUAGUCCACGCCGUAAACGGUGGGCACUAGGUGUGGGCAACAUUCCACGUUGUCCGUGCCGC